rnacentral:rRNA from 1 species
GAUGAACGCUAGCGGCAGGCUUAACACAUGCAAGUCGAGGGGCAGCACGAUUGAUAGCAAUAUUAAUUGGUGGCGACCGGCGCACGGGUGCGUAACGCGUAUGCAACCUACCUUACACUGGUGAAUAACCCGGAGAAAUUCGGACUAAUACACCGUAUGUACUAAGAAGGCAUCUUCUAAGUAUGAGAGAUUAAUCGAUGUAAGAUGGGCAUGCGUGACAUUAGGUAGUUGGUGAGGUAACGGCUCACCAAGCCCACGAUGUCUAGGGGUUCUGAGAGGAAGGUCCCCCACACUGGUACUGAGACACGGACCAGACUCCUACGGGAGGCAGCAGUGAGGAAUAUUGGUCAAUGGACGCAAGUCUGAACCAGCCAUGCCGCGUGCAGGAUGACGGCUCUAUGAGUUGUAAACUGCUUUUGUAUUAGAAUAAAGCCCAUUACGUGUAAUGGUUUGAAUGUAUAAUACGAAUAAGGAUCGGCUAACUCCGUGCCAGCAGCCGCAGUAAAAC